GCCCGCUCUGCAUAAAUACACUUCACCGAAGACACUAGGAAAAGUGAGGAAAAGUUGGUCCCGAACGGAAUUCGUAAUUGUGCUGCCGAAUAAAGGGGGAAAAUAAAAGUGACUGGUGUUUAGUAAGCAGGAUGGUAUCCCUGUCAUUGCUCUACACAUGCAUGUGUUUCCUUGAUGAAACAUUCCCAGAUUGUUGGACUGGUAGAAGUGGACCAGUUUCACAGCCAUCGCGUUUUCUAGACGUCACACCACUCUACUUCUUUUUCUGGGGAAACCUGAAGAUUCGAGAUUAUGCUUCAGAGAUUGGCAGCAUCGAGGAAUUAAAAAAAAAAUCGAAGCACCACUGUAACAUCUACCACAUAUAACGAUAAUUACAGAAGAAUUCUGGAAUAAAGAAGGAAUGUUGUAUGGAUACAACACUUUCUUCGAGCUUCGAUUUAAAAGUUUCAUAGAAGGAAAGUACAAAAGCAAUGAGAAAGGAAGCUGUAAUACCAGUAGUGUUUGGACUCGUUAAAUCUCUAUAUUUAAAUUAUCUUUUGAUAUAAAUGCGAUUAAAUAAAGUGUUUUUUAAUGAAA